UUCUUCGCUGUUGGGAUGGGUAUUACAUGACUAACCUUACCUCCAGGGUUAAGCAUUUUGAACAUUUUUUUGUUAAUUGAAGCGUUGUCCGCCGCUAUUCCUUCGAUGGAAUAGCCGACGGACUCGACUUCUUUGAACGUGUGUUCCGAUCAUUGACUCAGUUCUUCUGCUGUUAAGUUGGCUAAGAGAAAGUAGCCAACUAUUAUGCAAAACGAAUGCGACAGUCCAUUGAUGGCAAAUGUCAAUAGUUUGUUUGCUAGUUUACCGACUUCUUUUGGCUGUACCACUCGUCUGGCUUGAUCGCCACCUCAUCCACAACAAUAUCCUUUAAAGCCAAAUCAGUGAGCCUGACGUCCACCGUUGAGGAUCCAGUGUAUCGUCGCAGCGUCUUGUGAGAAAAGGGCGAAGUACCUGCUGCUGUAACCGCAAAAGAUUGUACUUCAGCUCAGUUUUCACAUGGGAUUCAUCAUUAUCAGCGGAUAAGUCGCUUACUGCAUCAGCGGAUAAGUCGCUCGCUUCAUCAGCAGAAAAGUCGGUUGCUUCCAUCGUACUUGGAUCAUAUUCAGAAUCGGAAUCGUCCGACUACGAUUCUGAUUCAGCAUCGCAAUCCCAUGAGGAGCUACUACCCUCCAAAAAGGAUUCGGUAUCGUCGUCGUCAUUGACAGCAGACUUAUUUAUUAGACUUGAUUUAUAGAUAUAUUAUUUUUUUGAUUUAUUAGACUAUAGCUCAUUUUUAAAAUCAACUUAUUAAAUUUAAAAAAAAAAUUGUUGGCCGACGUAAGAAUCGUCAAAGUGUCCCGUCCUCUAAAUUAAGUAGUCCAUGACCAAAGUUGCAAGUCUUCCUGUCAGUGAAUAUCUAUGGUGUCUUUCUCUGUGUGUAUCUGAACUUCAAGCUGACAGGUUACAUAUAAUUUAAGUAAUAAAGACUACUAUUGAAAGAAAACACUCCGCGGUUUAUUCCUUUCAACAGCAUUU